CCUACGGGUGGCAGCAGUGAGGAAUAUUGGUCAAUGGACGCAAGUCUGAACCAGCCAUGCCGCGUGCAGGAAGACGGCUCUAUGAGUUGUAAACUUCUUUUGUACGAGGGUAAACGCAGAUACGCGUAUCUGUCUGAAAGUAUCGUACGAAUAAGGAUCGGCUAACUCCGUGCCAGCAGCCGCGGUAAUACGGAGGAUUCAAGCGUUAUCCGGAUUUAUUGGGUUUAAAGGGUGCGUAGGCGGUCGGAUAAGUUAGAGGUGAAAUCCCGAGGCUCAACUUCGGAAUUGCCUCUGAUACUGGUCGGCUAGAGAGUAGGUGCGGUAGGCGGAAUGUAUGGUGUAGCGGUGAAAUGCUUAGAGAUCAUACAGAACACCGAUUGCGAAGGCAGCUUACCAAGCUACUUCUGACGUUGAGGCACGAAAGCGUGGGGAGCGAACAGGAUUAGAUACCCUAGUAGUC
rnacentral:rRNA from 1 species